GUGCCAGCAGCCGCGGUAAGACGAACCGUGCGAACGUUGUUCGGAUUCACUGGGCUUAAAGGGCGCGUAGGCGGCUUGCCAAGUCAGGGGUGAAAUCUUUCGGCUCAACCGGAAAAUUGCCUCUGAUACUGGCGAGCUGGAGGGAGGUAGGGGCAGAUGGAACUUCCGGUGGAGCGGUGAAAUGCGUAGAUAUCGGAAGGAACGCCGGUGGCGAAAGCGAUCUGCUGGACCUCCACUGACGCUGAGGCGCGAAAGCCAGGGGAGCAAACGGGAUUAGAAACCCCGGUAGUCC
rnacentral:rRNA from 1 species